rnacentral:tRNA from 1 species
GGGCCGAUAGUCUAGCUCGGUAGGACGUUGCCCUCACGCGGCAAAGAUCGCCGGUUCGAAUCCGGCUCGGCCCA